GAUACCUUUCAUGUGAUGCUACACUACAUUCAGGCUGGAAUUUGGUGUCUUAUUGCUACAAAAAGUCUUAAGAUCUCUGUUUUAAUGUUGAUGCUGGUCAGUUGUGCCUGAAUUCCAAUAGGGGGAACGUAUGGUGAAGAGUAUCCAGCCCUUGCCUCCUUGUCAUGGCCUGAACUCGUUUUUCAGGCUUGGAUCCUGCAGAGAGGACGAGUGAUGGAGUGGAUACACACGGCUGCUAGUGCAAACCUGUAAGCCAAGAAACUCAGACCCCCACUGGGGACCCACACUGAAGGGAUCAGCCAACAUGCAGAC